GCAUGCCAGGCAAGCACUCCAACCACAG
rnacentral:piRNA from 1 species